rnacentral:rRNA from 1 species
GAUGAACGCUGGCGGCGUGCCUAAUACAUGCAAGUCGAGCGAACAGAUGAGGAGCUUGCUCCUCUGACGUUAGCGGCGGACGGGUGAGUAACACGUGGAUAACCUACCUAUAAGACUGGGAUAACUUCGGGAAACCGGAGCUAAUACCGGAUAAUAUAUUGAACCGCAUGGUUCAAUAGUGAAAGACGGUUUUGCUGUCACUUAUAGAUGGAUCCGCGCCGCAUUAGCUAGUUGGUAAGGUAACGGCUUACCAAGGCAACGAUGCGUAGCCGACCUGAGAGGGUGAUCGGCCACACUGGAACUGAGACACGGUCCAGACUCCUACGGGAGGCCGCAGUAGGGAAUCUUACGCAAUGGGCGAAAGCCUGACGGAGCAACGCCGCGUGAGUGAUGAAGGUCUUCGGAUCGUAAAACUCUGUUAUUAGGGAAGAACAAAUGUGUAAGUAACUAUGCACGUCUUGACGGUACCUAAUCAGAAAGCCACGGCUAACUACGUG